GGCAUCUAAUCCGCAGCUGCUUUUGUCGCCUUCGCCUGGCGCGCGGCACCCUUCCGACCUCCGCCCGCCUUUCCCGCCGCUAGAUAUAGAGCUGCGCCUCGGUGCGCAUACAGGGCAGUUCAUGGCCUGACACGCGCGCGGGAAGAAGAUUAAAAAUACACGAUCUUGGUGGUCUUCUUGGUUCCGCGUCAUGGUUGUCGAGGGGAAUGACGCCGGGUCCGAAAGAGAGACGCAUGGCGUGCGUGUGGCGCGUUUCGGACCAGGCUUCAUUCCCCAUGACACCAUCAUGGUUCAGGUUGAUGGACUCGGCCUCGGCGGGUGUUCUUGUGAGCUCCGCCUGUGCCUCCCUCCGUGUGGUCUGAAGCACAGCAGACGACCAUGGCCUGCCUGCAGCUAGCGAAGGGAAGGAUUUCUUCAAGAUGAGGUGCGCGCAUGACAGAUGGGUCGACAUAAAUCAACUCCAGAGCAACUCUGCUUACAGCAAAGCAAAUAGAAGAACUGUAGUUUGAUCAGGUACUCCAAGACCACCAAAUCUAUCAGCCUGUUUUCAGAAUGUAAGCUGCAUGCUGCAAUGUCAGAGCCUGCAUGCUGCAAAUGUCAGAUUUAGGUGCAAACAUUCAGCAUCAAGGCAACUGCAAUCACAAGUUUGUAACACGGCAUAACUGCUGCGGCACAGUUAAACUGAUUCCAGAGGCCCCUUUCAUUUCAUGUCAUUUUGUUUUGUUUCAUCAGUGAUGGCUCAGUGGGGUGCAUCUAAUGUCAGUUUCAGUUAUUCACAGCCA